CAGUAGCCGCGGUAACACGGAGGGGGCUAGCGUUGUUCGGAAUUACUGGGCGUAAAGCGCACGUAGGCGGCUUGGUAAGUUAGAGGUGAAAGCCUGGAGCUCAACUCCAGAAUUGCCUUUAAGACUGCCGAGCUAGCAGGUGAGAGAGGUAAGUGGAAUUCCGAGUGUAGAGGUGAAAUUCGUAGAUAUUCGGAAGAACACCAGUGGCGAAGGCGGCUUACUGGCUCAUACUGGACGCUGAGGUGCGAAAGCGUGGGGAGCAAACAGGAUUAGAUACCCGCGUAGUCCCUGUCUCUUAUAC
rnacentral:rRNA from 1 species